rnacentral:rRNA from 1 species
GAUGAACGCUGGCGGCGUGCUUAACACAUGCAAGUCGAACGGAAAGGCCCAAGCUUGCUUGGGUACUCGAGUGGCGAACGGGUGAGUAACACGUGGGUGAUCUGCCCUGCACUUCGGGAUAAGCCUGGGAAACUGGGUCUAAUACCGGAUAGGACCACUUCUUGGAUGCUGUGGUGGAAAGUUUUUUCGGUGUGGGAUGAGCUCGCGGCCUAUCAGCUUGUUGGUGGGGUAAUGGCCUACCAAGGCGUCGACGGGUAGCCGGCCUGAGAGGGUGUACGGCCACAUUGGGACUGAGAUACGGCCCAGACUCCUACGGGAGGCAGCAGUGGGGAAUAUUGCACAAUGGGCGCAAGCCUGAUGCAGCGACGCCGCGUGGGGGAUGACGGCCUUCGGGUUGUAAACUCCUUUCGCUAGGGACGAAGCGUUUUGUGACGGUACCUGGAGAAGAAGCACCGGCUAACUACGUG